ensembl:lncRNA
UAUUCCAUUAUAAACAAUCUCUGUUUAGAGGUGACCUAGCCCUAUUCCAUUAUAAACAACCUCUGUUUAGAAGUGACCUAGCCCUAUUCCAUUAUAAACAACCUCUGUUUAGAGUUGACCUAGCCCUAUUCCAUUAUAAACAACCUCUGUCUAGAGGUGACCUAGCCCUAUUCCAUUAUAAACAACCUCUGUCUAGAGGUGACCUAGCCCUAUUUCAUUAUGAACAAAAGUUGAACUUAGAGAACUUAGAGCCACUGUUACUUUUAUUGUAAAUUAUUUAACUUUUCAUUUUUAUUGUAAAUGAUUAAAAUCUUACUUUUAUUAAUUAAAUUGUACUUUAGCGUAAAU